rnacentral:rRNA from 1 species
UACGGAAGGCAGCAGUGGGGAAUAUUGCACAAUGGGCGAAAGCCUGAUGCAGCUAUGCCGCGUGUAUGAAGAAGGCCUUAGGGUUGUAAAGUACUUUCAUCGGGGAGGAAAAACAAAACUAAUAAUUUUAUUUCUUGACGUUACCCGAAAAAGAAGCACCGGCUAACUCCGUGCCAGCAGCCGCGGUAAUACGGAGGGUGCUAGCGUUAAUCAGAAUUACUGGGCGUAAAGAGCACGUAGGUGGUUUUUUUAAGUCAGAUGUGAAAUCCCUGGGCUUAACCUAGGAACUGCAUUUUGAAACUGAAAUACUAGAGUAUCGUAGAGGGAGGUAGAAUUCUAGGUGUAGCGGUGAAAUGCGUAGAUAUCUGGAGGAAUCCUGUGGCGAAAGCGGCCUCCUAAACGAAUACUGACACUGAGGUGCGAAAGCGUGGGGAGCAAACAGGGAUUAGAUACC